AUUGAACGCUGGCGGCAUGCCUUACACAUGCAAGUCGAACGGCAGCAUGAUCUAGCUUGCUCGAUUGAUGGCGAGUGGCGAACGGGUGAGUAAUACAUCGGAACGUGCCCUGUAGUGGGGGAUAACUAGUCGAAAGAUUAGCUAAUACCGCAUACGACCUGAGGGUGAAAGUGGGGGACCGCAAGGCCUCAUGCUAUAGGAGCGGCCGAUGUCUGAUUAGCUAGUUGGUGAGGUAAAGGCUCACCAAGGCGACGAUCAGUAGCUGGUCUGAGAGGACGAUCAGCCACACUGGGACUGGGACACGGCCCAGACUCCUACGGGAGGCAGCAGUGGGGAAUUUUGGACAAUGGGCGAAAGCCUGAUCCAGCAAUGCCGCGUGUGUGAAGAAGGCCUUCGGGUUGUAAAGCACUUUUGCCCGGAAAGAAAUGGCUCUGGUUAAUACCUGGGGUCGAUGACGGUACCGGAAGAAUAAGGACCGGCUAACUACGUG
rnacentral:rRNA from 1 species